UACGUAGGUGGCAAGCGUUGUCCGGAAUUAUUGGGCGUAAAGCGCGCGCAGGUGGUUUAAUAAGUCUGAUGUGAAAGCCCACGGCUCAACCGUGGAGGGUCAUUGGAAACUGUUAAACUUGAGUGCAGGAGAGAAAAGUGGAAUUCCUAGUGUAGCGGUGAAAUGCGUAGAGAUAUGGAGGAACACCAGUGGCGAAAGCGGCUCUUUGGCUCGCAACUGACGCUGAGGCGCGAAAGCGUGGGGAGCAAACAGG
rnacentral:rRNA from 1 species